UGCACCCGAUCCCAGACAAGGCGCCAAAACGUGCGCGACCUUUUUUCUGCCUGUUUUGCUGUUUGUGUCUUUACCCCCUCCCCUCUCCGCCAUUGCCCAGUUCUCCUCCUCCUCUCCGUGUCCCACUCCCGCUCCGCGCCCACGCAAUCCACGUACUCACCCGCCCGCCGUGCACCACGUGCAUACAUACACACAUACGCACCCUUUUUUUUCCUGCUUUGUCUUCCCUUUUCCCUCCUCACAUUAGGGAGACACAUAGACCCACCCACCCAUCCAUACACAUACACAUACACGGAUUCAGACACUCCUUUGUGCUCAUAUAAAAUUGCCGACUGCAGAAGACGACAAGCAACGCAGAGCAGAACACAGAUUGAAGGGAAGGAGCGCCCCCUCCUUUCCCUCCCUCUCACACACACGCACAGACACAGACGGUGCUCUUGUUUGUUUAUUUCCUUUUCUCUCUCUGUGUGUGUUGCACAGCUGCAACGUCAUGCCCGCCAAGCCCGACACCUCGCUUCCUCCACAGCUGUGUCUCAUCGCGGCUGACGAGUCCGUCAACCCCGUUCCCAAGCUGCUCCUUUCCUUUCCGGUGCCACGCCUGAUAUCGCAGCUGCGGCUCGAGACCGGGUGGGCGAGGCCAGAAGAGGAUGAGGUCCCUGCCGGCGGUGUGCCAACAAAACCCUCUGCUUUGCCGUCAUGGCGGGCAGAGGAACUGGAUCACCUCUCGCGCGGUAUGCAGGAGUCUGCCCAACAGCUGCUGCUCACUGGCGGCUUCUCACACUUUCUGCAGGAGCAGUUCCAUCACGAGGCGGGCCCAAAAUGUGAGUGUUGUGGCAGCGCCACCGACAGCGGCAGCGCGCUGCUCCGUCAGGGCUGUGCCUCUGCCGCGCACUGUGUCAGCAGAACCGUCACCCUUGGCCUUCAAGGGCUGCUUUCCUCCGUGGCGCAGCGAAACACGCUGCUGCAUGUUGCCCGAUUGCGCAGGCAGAGCGAAUCUGCGACAACUUCAUCUGCUCUGCUACCUGCUGGUAAGGGCACAUUCGGACACCGCGUACCGCUGACGCGUGUUCCUGAGUCAGAGAGCUGGGUUAAUGGCGAAGAUGCUGCGGCGGUGGGCCUGCGACCGCGGCGAUCGGCGGAAUCGGGUAGCGCCUGGGCGGACACGUCGACAAGCUUGCGAGACUUGGCGCCAGCCGGUGGCACACCAUCAAUCCCCACCAGUGGGCGGCGACGGGCGAGUGGGACGGCCGCGUCCACUUCGACCACUACUGGCGUGGCGACGAGCUACAGACCACGCACGGCUCCAGAGUCUGCGAGCCUGGAGGCACUAGAGACGUCCUUGGGCAGCGAGCACGCCGAUGCACGCCCUACCACCUUUUCGGACUUUGUGCGGCAGAUCGCUAGUGAUAGUGGCAGCAGCACUGCUGCCUCCGAUGCGCCACUGCUCCUUCAUUUCGUUUCCUGGCUGCCCCUUCAAGUGCGCCCUUUCGAUGGCAUCCCGUGUGCGCAGGUGACCGCUUGCUUGACGGCACUCACCGCAUCGUGCACUGAGGCCGAGGACGCAGCGGCGGUGCCCUCCUCCAACUCUGGGCUGCAGGGGUCGCUGUGGUCUGCGCGCGCGUGGCUUUGCUGCCAGUGCUUAGCGCAUCCGCGCUUCCCUACUGAGGCAGUGCCCGCGGGACUCGUAGGACGUACGGUCGACGCGUUCGCACGGGUCAUUCGUGAUGUGACGGGGUUGAUCUUACAAGUGCAGCAAUCAGCAGACGCGGCUGCUGUCGAGGUUAGCGCCGAGGCAGGAGGCAAGCAAGAGCGGCACUUGUCGUCAGUGGCUGAGAGAGGUAGUGGGGCUGACGGCACCUGUGCCGCAUCGAGUCUGGUCCCCUGGCUAGAGCAGCUGCGGGGCUACCUUCGCGGCUUUGCCGUCAUGUUGUGCAACCGCACAUUGCAGCUUGUACCAGAUACCGAUGUCUACCGUCUUGAGGAGCUGUGCUACCAGUGUCUCUUUCACGCGACGCGCAGUUGCACCAAGGAAGUGCACCUGCUCUACAGUAGGUACAUCAUCGACAGCGCGGUGCAUCUGUAUCGGUGCAUCUGGAACUCACUCCAGGUGGAGAGGCAGCGCUUGGUGGAGGUGUUCUUCCAGCGUCUACCCACGUCUUCCGCGUGUGUGACGCACCGGAGCUAUCGCGUGAACUACGACGGACGCACUGUGCUGCCCCUCACGGUUACCAUGCUGGCAGGUGCGCAGUCGUUGGUCAUCUCAAGCGAAGGAGGCGAGCUGGCCACCGUGGAGACGCUGCAGCGUCAGUGCAGCUUGUGGGCCAACACGUUUGUGCAUGAGCUGCUGUUGCGGCGCGCUUCAGAGGGGGACCGGGCCGAGGACACGGCAGCGUGGACGGCGGCAGUGCGCGUGGCGGAGGACUUGACGGAUCUUCUCGGGGUGCCGGAGUGGCCAGGCGCAGAUGUACUGCUCCGUAGUUUCGUGCACUCGCUGACGCAGCUAUGCCUCGGCGCCGAGUCUGCCACGACGGCGUCCGCCGAGGCGCUGCGGCCGCUGGCAUUGGAUGUGGUAGCGCACGUAGCUCUGAGGCUCUUUGAUGAGAAGCAGUUCUCUGUGCCGACGGCUAUCUUGGCGGAGGUGGAGCGACUCGGGGACUCGACCAGCACAAGCCAGACGGCGGCUCGCAUGGCGCUUCAGCAUAUCUUGCGUGUACCCGUUCCCGCACAACCCGCCGCUGCCGACCAGCAGGCUUGGGAGCGCAUGUGUGGUGCAGGAGGCAAGGCAGCGACGUCGAGCAUUGGCGCGGCGGACAGCCGCCUUCUUGGGAUUAUGACAUCCGUCUACGUGGCAGAAUCGCAGCUCAUCACGAAUCCGUCCACCACGGCCGAUUACGCUGCAGUGUGGUUUCACGUGCGCGCGGCGCAACUCACAACCUGGGCUUCGCUGCAGGAUGCCGAUCAGGAAUGGAUUUCGCAGGCCGCGCUUAACUCACUCGUGCGGUGGCAGCGGCCUCCCGGCUCGGGGGACGCACCGGCCAACUGGAACGAUGUGUGCGCGUGGACGCAGGCCAUCAGCACGCAGUUCAGCAACUCUAUGCUCAGCCUGCGCACACGACACACCCUGGUGUCGAUGCUGCUCUCCAUUUUUCACCUGAAAGAUGCACAGGGCGUCGCGGUACCGGUGCCGGACGUGGUACAGAAAAGAGCACUUGCCCACCUCGCCCGCCUUACCGCGGCGCACCCGCCGCUCCAUCGCUAUCUGUGGCCCGUGGCACGGCAGUGCGUGCAGGACGACAGUUCGAGAGUGCGGGAGUCUAUCGUGCCCCUUCUUCUUACAAUGCUGAAUGGCGCGACCGUCACCGCAACUGAGGUCGAGUCGGCGUCGACCGACCACUUCUCUGCAACAGCUGACAGGGUCACUGCGGAGGUGGUGAGCAGCCUCCUCUAUCUCCUCAACGACAAGAGUGCCUCAGUGGUGUCGCGCACCAUCGCCGCCCUCGACGCAUUUCUGACAGAUGACGCUUACCAGUGCCUUUUCUCCACCCCGCAGGGUGCGCCGCUGCUGCUCUUCAUCCAGCACAAGCUACUGCAACUCGCCUCCCCCGAGGAGGCCGAGGCGCAGAGGCAUCAGAAGGAGGUGGUGAAGCACUUUCUGCGCCGCUGGGUGGUGACGCUAGGCGACGCCGAGGGUUCCCUCACCGGCGCACACGCGCAGCUGGCAAAGGAACUCGUUGCACUGGUGGUGAUGGCGGCGCCAGACUACCCGCACGAUCUCGGCGAGGACCACCCGCUCGUGCAGGUGCUACAGGGCAUGCACGCAUACGUAGCCGCAUACGACCCGGCACGCGAGACAUCUUCGCCGACCGCCACUGCCGUGACUGCGGCUGCAGCGCGUCGUCGCCCGCGCGGCUACCAUAUUGAUGGGGCCCGGCUGCUCCACGUCAUGCGCUGCGCAGCGCGGUCGCUGUGGACGCGGUACAACUGCUUUCACUCUACCGAGGACGCCGUGUCGUGCCUCGCUGCGCUGCGGGCACUCGCGCAGGCCCGCGGGGAGUGGGUGCAGCCGCUGGCCGAAGUGCUGGUGCAGUCCAUUGCCUACCCCCCGCCUCCCACAUCGCCACUUGCCAAGGUGCCGGAGGCUCUGGGCGGGGCGCUGCUGCACAUGUGUCAAACCCUGCACGCCGUUCUGAAGGCCCCUCGGCUGCCCCUUAUCUCCCUCGACCAGCUCGCACGCUGCCUAACAGCGCUGCUAUCCAAGUACGUGGGGCCGUAUCAGCAGCGCGUGAUCGUCGCUUCCUGCGGUACCCUGAGCGCCCUCAUCACUUGCGGCGCCAAGCAUCAUCGCUCCGGGCAGGUCAACGUGCCGUAUUUGCAACUCUGCUACUCGCUCAUGAACACCUACUACACCCGUGUGCGGGGGCUGUUGCCGAGCUUGGCCACGCAGCCGCAGAGUGUCGCCUACACGCAGCGCUUCCUCUUUCUCCUGUCCGAGUUUUUGCGCAUGUAUCCGGGCUGGAAGCAGCACCCGCCGCACCCGGCCUUGAUGGAGGAGUCGUUGGCCGGCCACGACGCCGGGGCAACAGCGCUGAAUGCGCUCAUCGCGGGCCCCGGUAUCAUGGCUAACACGUACCAGCUCCUGGAGGACGUCCUGGGGAGCUGUGGCGGCCCGGCCACGCAAAAGGGCGUUGGCCUGAUCGCCCUGCGCGUUGUUGCAUCACUGUGCAUGCUGGAUCCCACGACGUACUUCCUCCGCGCCGAGGGACGCAUUCGCGACGCGCUUCGCUCACACGACAUGAGCUUUCAACUGCAAGGCCUCUCCCUGCUCUCCGACUUUCUCAAAGAGGAGGAUCAGCGGGUGGAGGCGGCAGCGCGGAAGGCCACUCACGUGGGCACGACGGCGCUCAUCCUUGGCUCCAGCGGCGGCGGCGACGCCAGCGACACUUCGAGUGGCAGCCGGGAAAGCAGUCACCGCAGCGACAAGCUUGAUGCGCCUCCGCCUGGUGGCCAUGCCAAGCGCACGUGCCAUAAGCGAGUCGCCGCCGCUGUCGAUGCGCCCAAGCAGAUGAAGGCGAGAACCAACGCGAAGGGAGCCCCACCGCCGCACUCACCGGCUGCAGCGCACACGGAGGACUUUAAUAGCGGUAUGGCAACGUGGAUCUUUCAGCAGUUUCACGGCGACAUCGCGCGGCUCAGCUGCGGCACUCCGAACGCCCAAGUACGCUCGCUCUGUCUGCGCUUGUUUCUGCAAGCCGCGCACGGGGGCCUGCUGCCGCCUGACAAGUACAUGCAAGCUAUCGUUGCCCUCGCCGCGGACGUGCAUGGGCCGCUGCGACAGCAGGCGGCGGCCAGUCUCAACAUCCACUGUGAGCGCCAUGAGGAGGUGGUGGGGGCGUCGGUCGGGCGGGGUGUCGUUCUUGCGUUUUGUCUGCACCACACGUGCGGCGUGAACCUUCUGCGCAGCGCGGUGUUGCCCGGCAAGCCGCUCGCCGCGACUACGGCUACUGCUGUCGAUAGCGGCGCCGGUGAUGUGCUGAGCGGGUGCAGUGUCCACAGCUCCGUGUACACGCUACUGCAUAAGCGGCUGCGCGACAGCAUGAUCACCACCCUUGUGCGUUUCUUCUACCAAGAUGACAAGGCGCGGUCGUGGUGCGAGGAACAUGUGCGGCAGAUUACCGAUGCUGCCGCCACUCUGGCCGCGUCCUCAUCGUCGUCUGUCGUCUUCGGCCUUUUCCACCCGUAUCUCUUUCUCUGUCAUUUGACGCUGGCGCUUGCGACGUUGCCGUUCCCGCAUGAGAGCGACGUGUUGCAUCUGCUACAGCAGGCCCGCACCGGCCUCGACUUGAACGGGCAGGCAGCGUUGGAUUGGUUGAGGGACAAGGAGGCGCCGACUGAACCACCAUCGCGCGCCGAUGCAAGCGCUAGCGCGCUCAUGCGGUGGAAGGCGGUCGGCGCCGUGCUGCUUCAUUACCUACGUCGCAGUCUUACAUGUGAGUACCACAUGACUUCUGCGACGCUCCUGCGCCACCGCAACCGACCAAACUACCGUCUCGCCACUGCUGCAGCACAGCACAGCGCUGCCCCUGCACUGAACCGCAGCCCUGCGAACAGCGCAGCAACGGCCCAUCUGACAGAGCGCGUGGAGCGACUCGUGAGAAUGUUGGAGCCUGCCUUACGGGCGUCGUCGACAGCACACCCUUCGAAGGACAUAGAGGAGGCUGCGUGGCACGCGCUAAGCGUCGAGCUAGAGGCUGCCCUGAUGGAAGAGAGUGCCCACGACAUUAGACAGCGCACUCCCACUCGUGCUACGCCUGUGUGUGGUCGAGCUAAGGCCGCAAGAGGCGUGCGUGCUGCACGAACAGCCACGGCUCCCUCACGACGAAAGCGACAGCGAUAUACUUCGUCAAGCGACACCUCAAGUGCGAAUGAUACUGUCGACGACGACACAGACAGCGAGGAGGACACAACUACUCCUUCAUCGGCGUCGUCCGCGAUCGACACAAAACACGACGCACCGACCCUCCACCGCCGCCGACGUUCCACGAGCCGUGCAGAUGAUGCAUAGGACUACACCAGAAGCUCUCAGGCCCUACGUAAGCGACGCAGCAGGUGCAUAAAUUCAGCUCGAUACGUCGAGCGACCUCCUGGAGUGUCGCGGCUCGUUCCUUGACCUGACCCCUUCCCUGCAUCUUUCGUUGUCGCUGCACUGCUCAUUCGCUUGCUGACACGUGGUUUUCGCCCUCCAUCUCUCGCGCUGUGACAGCAACUCUUCCCUCCACGCACCUGCGAGCCUGCACAGCGGCCCACCCGCCCGCACACGUGAGCAGAGGUGGGUGGGUGGAGCGGGUGAUGUCGGCGCGCACACGCGCGCGCGCUGACCACUCCGACGUGAAAACACGGACGAGCGAGACUGGCAAGGCAAGGCAGGAAUCUGAUCACGUGUGCGCGCACACAAACGGAAUGAGCAGCUCCUGAAGAGACGAUGGGGCUCAUGCACACAGACACGCACGCGCACACUCCUCCGUCUUCACGGAGCGCGGCCCUGCUGCUGCUGCUGCUGCUGCCGCCAUGUGCCGGACGUCUGCCACGCGUGUCUUCCCCACACCUUGCUCUUUCUCUCCCCCCUCCCCUCCCCUCCUGGCGAACACAAAACAUGCGCGAUGCACACACGCGCACGCCCACCGAAAAAAAAAACGCGCAG
rnacentral:misc_RNA from 1 species